rnacentral:rRNA from 1 species
GAUGAACGCUGGCGGCGUGCCUAAUACAUGCAAGUCGAGCGAACAGACGCGGAGCUUGCUCCUCUGACGUUAGCGGCGGACGGGUGAGUAACACGUGGAUAACCUACCUAUAAGACUGGGAUAACUUCGGGAAACCGGAGCUAAUACCGGAUAAUAUAUUGAACCGCAUGGUUCAAUAGUGAAAAACGGUUUUGCUGUCACUUAUAGAUGGAUCCGCGCCGCAUUAGCUAGUUGGUAAGGUAACGGCUUACCAAGGCGACGAUGCGUAGCCGACCUGAGAGGGUGAUCGGCCACACUGGAACUGAGACACGGUCCAGACUCCUACGGGAGGCAGCAGUAGGGAAUCUUCCGCAAUGGGCGAAAGCCUGACGGAGCAACGCCGCGUGAGUGAUGAAGGUCUUCGGAUCGUAAAACUCUGUUAUUAGGGAAGAACAAAUGUGUAAGUAACUAUGCACGUCUUGACGGUACCUAAUCAGAAAGCCACGGCUAACUACGUG